rnacentral:rRNA from 1 species
UACAGAGGCCUCGAGCGUUAGGCGGAAUCACUGGGCUUAAAGCGCGUGUAGGCGGUCUCGCAAGUCGGAUGUGAAAGCCCAGGGCUCAACCCUGGAAGUGCACUCGAUACUGCGAGGCUAGAGUCCCGGAGAGGAUGGUGGAACUCUCGGUGUAGAGGUGAAAUUCGUAGAUAUCGAGAAGAACACCGGUGGCGAAGGCGGCCAUCUGGACGGUGACUGACGCUGAGACGCGAAAGCGUGGGGAGCAAACAGG